UAUGUCGGUUCGCCUUCAAAGGGGCUCCACUCUGCACCAUAGUAGAAUGUAUCCAAAGGCAUUGGCCAGUCGAAGGGAAGAUAGCAAAGUGAUAUCACUGGCAAAUCUACUUUGAGGCCAAAUCUGUAAACUCUAAGUACCAACCAGACUACCAUCCUCCCUACCAUUUGAAAGUAACCGACACUGAUGCACUUAGAAGAAGCCACAGAGACAUACCAAAGAAGGCCAGGUGAU